CAAGAAGUAGUUUAAUUAGAAUGCCA
rnacentral:tRNA from 1 species